UCGGGAAUUUUGGGCAAUGGGCGAAAGCCUGACCCAGCAACGCCGCGUGAAGGAUGAAGUAUUUCGGUAUGUAAACUUCGAAAGAAUAGGAAGAAUAAAUGACGGUACUAUUUAUAAGGUCCGGCUAACUACGUGCCAGCAGCCGCGGUAAUACGAAGGGAGCUAGCGUUGUUCGGAAUCACUGGGCGUAAAGCGCACGUAGGCGGAUAGUUAAGUCAGGGGUGAAAUCCUGGGGCUCAACCCCAGAACUGCCUUUGAUACUGGCUGUCUCGAGGUCGAGAGAGGUUGGUGGAAUUCCUAGUGUAGAGGUGAAAUUCGUAGAUAUUAGGAAGAACACCAGUGGCGAAGGCGGCCAACUGGCUCGAUACUGACGCUGAGGUGCGAAAGCGUGGGGAGCAAACAGGAUUAGAUACCCUCGUAGUCCCUGAGCGGGCUGGCAAGGCGCAU
rnacentral:rRNA from 1 species